GUGUUAUAUAAAAGAAGUUAGCAUUCAUCUUAAAAAGAAUGAGACGAUUCUAGUCACCCAUACCAAAGAUUCACGGUUAGGAUGUUGCUAUUUACUUUGUGGUAUCGAACCUUGCUUUUUG